UGCAUUCACUGCUGUAGGUUGCUUUGGAUAAGAGCGUCUGCUAAAUGACUAAAA
rfam:Salmo salar isolate Sally breed double haploid chromosome ssa15, whole genome shotgun sequence.